rnacentral:rRNA from 1 species
AGCGAACGCUGGCGGCAGGCCUAACACAUGCAAGUCGAACGAACCCUUCGGGGUUAGUGGCGGACGGGUGAGUAACACGUGGGAACGUGCCUUUAGGUUCGGAAUAACUCAGGGAAACUUGUGCUAAUACCGAAUGUGCCCUUCGGGGGCAAGAUUUAUCGCCUUUAGAGCGUCCCGCGUCUGUUUAGCUAGUUGGUGGGGUAAUGGCUCACCAAGGCUACGUUCAAUAGCUGGUCUAUGAGGAUGACCACACACAUUGGGACUGAGACACGGCCCAAACUCCUACGGGAGGCAGCAGUGGGGAAUCUUGCGCAAUGAGGGAAAGCCUGACGCAGCCAUGCGGCGUGGAUGAUGAAGGUCUUAGGAUUGUAAAAUCCUUUCACCGGUGAAGAUAAUGACUGUAGCCGGAGAAGAAGACCCGGCUAACUUCGUGCCAGCCGCCGCCGUAAGAC